rnacentral:lncRNA from 7 species
GUCACUCAUGUGCACCUCCGAGGUUAUAAGGGACCAGACCCAAAAUAGCCCAUGGUUUAUUAAUCUGUACAUCCAUGAGUUAUUAGAUGCAGUGAGAUGGAAGCUAAGCGUAGGGAUGACAAUGAGGAAUUCCCCGUCGAGGAAUGGCUCCCCAUACUCAUCCCCGCAACGAAAAAAAUUCUCACGAGGAUCCCCAAGAACGCUUGCGAGGAACAUUUCUUCUCCAUCCCAUUCCACGUGGGGAUAAAUCCCCGACAGGGAUCCCCGUCACCGUUUAAAUUAUAAUUAGGACAUACAUACUUUGUUAUUAAUGCAUAAAAAUCACUUAUACAUAUUGUUAGAUAUAAGAAAUCAUUAUGUGUACAUCAAAAUAAACACAUUUGUAUAAUGAGUAAUCUCUUGACAAGUUAAUUAUUUAUUUUUAUCAUAAACUAGUACACGAAAACAUCGUCAAGUGCUGGUUUAACGGGUCCCUGCAGAGGAACGGGGAUGGAGAAUGCUUCUCCGUCCCUGUUUAUCCGUUAAAGGAAGAAUUUUCCCCGUUUACAUCCCCAUCCCCUAAUGGAGGAAUUCCUCGUGGGGAAUUAAAGAUUAGAGCCCCAUUGCUACGUGGUGACGUCUAGCCAAGCGAAGGUUUGUUGACUGCGGAAAUAAGCUCUAGGACAAUAUCCUUU